rnacentral:rRNA from 1 species
UACGGAGGGUGCAAGCGUUAAUCGGAUUUACUGGGCGUAAAGCGCACGUAGGCGGCUUGUUAAGUCGGAUGUGAAAUCCCCGGGCUCAACCUGGGAGCGGCAUUCGAUACUGGCAAGCUGGAGUACGAGAGAGGGGGGUGGAAUUCCAGGUGUAGCGGUGAAAUGCGUAGAUAUCUGGAGGAACACCGGUGGCGAAGGCGGCCCCCUGGCUCGAUACUGACGCUGAGGUGCGAAAGCGUGGGGAGCAAACAGG